GUUCAAUGAAUUUGGGGUCGAUGGAGGGCCUGCAGUGAAGGAGUUGAUACCAAAGCUUGAUCUUGCUAAGAAACACAUAUCUUCACAGCUCCAUGUGGUUUGUCGGAUAUCGAAGUUAAACAAUUAGUUUCGGCUGCUAUUGCUUUGAAAAGACUCGGUGAUAUUCUAUUUGUAUUUGGCCAUGGCUUUGGAGCCUUCUUCCUGUUUGUGUAUUUGUUGGUUAACACUCCUUUUCUCUAUGACUUCUACGACUAUCGACCUGAAGA